UUUUUUUACAAACCCUUGUGUGGAGAUCUGACUUUCAAUAGAUCGCAGCGAGGGAGCUGCUCUGCUACGUACGAAACCCCGACCCAGAAGCAAGUCGUCUACGAAUGGUUUAGCGCCGCGGGGCUGCCGUAUCGUUCCGCCUGGGCGGGAUUCUGACUUAAGAGGCGUUCAGUCAUAAUCCCACAGAUGGUAGCUUCGCCCCAUUGGCUCCUCAGCCAAU
rnacentral:lncRNA from 1 species